rnacentral:rRNA from 1 species
UACAGAGGGGGCAAGCGUUGUUCGGAAUUACUGGGCGUAAAGGGCGCGUAGGCGGCCCGCUAAGUCGAACGUGAAAUCCCCGAGCUCAACUCGGGAACUGCGUCCGAUACUGGCGGGCUUGAAUCCGGGAGAGGGAUGCGGAAUUCCAGGUGUAGCGGUGAAAUGCGCAGAUAUCAGGAAGAACACCUAUGGCGAAGGCAGCUCGCUGGGACGGUACUGACGCUAAGGCGCGAAAGCGUGGGGAGCAAACAGG